GACGAACGCUGGCGGCGUGCUUAACACAUGCAAGUCGAACGGUAAGGCCCCUCGGGGUACACGAGUGGCGAACGGGUGAGUAACACGUGGGUGAUCUGCCCUGCACUUCGGGAUAAGCCUGGGAAACUGGGUCUAAUACCGGAUAGGACCACUGCCUGCAUGGGUGGUGGUGAAAAGCUUUUGCGGUGUGGGAUGGGCCCGCGGCCUAUCAGCUUGUUGGUGGGGUGAUGGCCUACCAAGGGGACGACGGGUAGCCGGCCUGAGAGGGUGACCGGCCCCACUGGGACUGAGAUACGGCCCAGACUCCUACGGGAGGCAGCAGUGGGGAAUAUUGCACAAUGGGCGCAAGCCUGAUGCAGCGACGCCGCGUGAGGGAUGACGGCCUUCGGGUUGUAAACCUCUUUCAGCACCGACGAAGCGCAAGUGACGGUAGGUGCAGAAGAAGGACCGGCCAACUACGUGCCAGCCGCCGCAGUAA
rnacentral:rRNA from 1 species